ensembl:lncRNA
GGCACACCUAUUGUUGAAAACACUCUGAACCCACGCAAGGACAGCCCAGAACAAACGCUAUAUGCUUGGUAUCUUUAAAAUUUUUUUAAUCUUCCAGGUCUGACAGACUCUGAAAGUAAAGUGCCCUAAUGGCUCCAGACUUCCAGGGAAUUGCUGGCUCAGUCAACAAUCCCUGCUGCUGAUAAUUUACCAGGCAACAACAAUACUUCAGUUACGGAUAUUGACACACUGCCAUGUCAGUCCUCUGGUGCCUCACCAGCCAUCGUGAUUUAUCUGUGAUUGAUGAAGCAUUGAAAGAAGAAGCUAAAGCACUACUGACAGAAGAUUGCUAGAUUUGAUUAAUUUUAGCAUGGAACAUGUUUAUUUUCUUGUGUGGUAGCAGUGAGAAUUGGUGAAGAAGUCAACACUAAUACAAUAUUUCUUCUGACUAAAAGUCUCUUGAGAUAUUUUUGUAUCCCAGGAUCUGGAGAUAUGUUCUGUGAGUGAAGUAGAUGCAGUCUUUAUUCAAGAGGAACAGGAGUUUCAACUGCUGAAGACACACUGAUGUGGUGAGCUUUGAUGAAGAUGCAACAGGCCAGCUUUUCAAAGUGCUUGUUUCUGCACAUACCAAUUGCACCUGCCACACUUCUUCCCAUGUUUUUGCUCAGACUCACCUUGUGCUGUUCUCCUUGUUGUGAAGACCAGCCUUCC